rnacentral:rRNA from 1 species
GACGAACGCUGGCGGCGUGCCUAAUACAUGCAAGUAGGACGCAGUUGCGAACGGGUGAGUAACGCGUAGGUAACUACCUAUUAGAGGGGGAUAACUAUUGGAAACGAUAGCUAAUACCGCAUACUAGUAGAUGGACCUGCGUUGUAUUAGCUAGUAGGUAGGGUAAUGGCCUACCUAGGCAACGAUACAUAGCCGAACGUGGAGGGGUGUCGGGCACACUGGGACUGGGGCACGGGCCCGGCUCCUACGGGAGGCAGGAGUAGGGAAACUUCGGCAAAUGGGGGAAAGCUGACCGCGCAACGCCGCGGGGGGGAAGGAGGUUUUCGGAUCGUAAAACUCUGUUGUGAAGGAAGCGGUACUUAACCAGAAAGGGACGGCUAACUACGUGCCAGCAGCCGCGGUAAUAC